rnacentral:rRNA from 2 species
AGAGUUUGAUCAUGGCUCAGAUUGAACGCUGGCGGCAGGCCUAACACAUGCAAGUCGAGCGGUAGAGAGAAGCUUGCUUCUCUUGAGAGCGGCGGACGGGUGAGUAAUGCCUAGGAAUCUGCCUGGUAGUGGGGGAUAACGUUCGGAAACGGACGCUAAUACCGCAUACGUCCUACGGGAGAAAGCAGGGGACCUUCGGGCCUUGCGCUAUCAGAUGAGCCUAGGUCGGAUUAGCUAGUUGGUGAGGUAAUGGCUCACCAAGGCGACGAUCCGUAACUGGUCUGAGAGGAUGAUCAGUCACACUGGAACUGAGACACGGUCCAGACUCCUACGGGAGGCAGCAGUGGGGAAUAUUGGACAAUGGGCGAAAGCCUGAUCCAGCCAUGCCGCGUGUGUGAAGAAGGUCUUCGGAUUGUAAAGCACUUUAAGUUGGGAGGAAGGGCAGUUACCUAAUACGUGAUUGUUUUGACGUUACCGACAGAAUAAGCACCGGCUAACUCUGUGCCAGCAGCCGCGGUAAU